UACGUAGGGGGCAAGCGUUGUCCGGAGUCAUUGGGCGUAAAGCGCGUGUAGGCGGCUCGAUAAGUCUGCUGUGAAAGUCCAAGGCUCAACCUUGGGAUGCCGGUGGAUACUGUCGAGCUCGAGUCCGGAAGAGGAGUGUGGAAUUCCUGGUGUAGCGGUGAAAUGCGCAGAUAUCAGGAAGAACACCCGUGGCGAAAGCGGCUCUCUGGAACGGUACUGACGCUGAGACGCGAAAGCGUGGGGAGCGAACAGG
rnacentral:rRNA from 1 species